GGAAUUAUUGGGCGUAAAGCGUGCGUAGGCGGAUUAUUAAGUCUGAUGUGAAAUCCCGCGGCUCAACCGCGGACGUGCAUUGGAUACUGGUAAUCUUGAGUCCCGGAGAGGAGAGCGGAAUUCCUAGUGUAGAGGUGAAAUUCGUAGAUAUUAGGAGGAACACCAGUGGCGAAAGCGGCUCUCUGGACGGUGACUGACGCUGAGGCACGAAAGCAUAGGUAGCAAACAGGAUUAGAUACCCUGGUAGUCUAUGCCGUAAACGAUGGGCACUAGUCGGUGCGGGUAUUGACCCCUGCGCUGACGAAGCUAACGCAUUAAGUGCCCCGCCUGGGGAGUACGGCCGCAAGGCUAAAACUCAAAGGAAUUGACGGGGGCCCGCACAAGCGGUGGAGCAUGUGGAUUAAUUCGACGCAACGCGCAGAACCUUACCUAGCCUUGACAUGUUAGCGUACGACUCCCAAAAGAGUCCGACCUUCGGGAACGCUUACACAGGUGCUGCAUGGCU
rnacentral:rRNA from 1 species